rnacentral:lncRNA from 1 species
UUUUUGGAUCUCCGUCAGACCAGCAUUUUCUUUCCAUGUGCUUUUUCCCUUUAUCUUCUCUUUGAAAGGUGCCCCUUAAAAUUUAAUUUUUGGAUCUUUAUUGCAUACUUUUGUUGUUGUUGUCAUUUUUUCUCUUCAACGCUAAUUAAGCCAUGUACAAGACUUUGUUAAUGUCUUUUUUCAUGCUUGAACUCCUUGAAAACUUUUUGGAUAGACACGGUCAAAUUCCUGUUAGGUAAUGUUGUCCCUUUCAUACCACAUGUUGGAAACAAAUGAAAUUAUAUGCUAUUAUUGCUUGCGCGUAUUAUCGUUUCAUGCAGAAGCGGGUUUGUGUUCAGGAACAAUAUAAUGGAGGUAAUAUUUGCUGGCUUAAUUUGCUUUGUUUGGAAUCUAUAUUAGUACUUAUUAUUUUCUAAAGAAUCACACACACACCCAAAUACAACUCUUUUUGAGAGACUAAGUUNNNNNNNNNNNNNNNNNNNNNNNUUGAAAUUCUCUUGGAUAGCCAGAAAAAUUAUUUAUCUUCUUAAUUUCUCAAAUUAUUGUUUUUUUCCUUAUUAUAAAGGGUCAAUUCGUCUCUGAGUUCUUUUCAUUUUGUACCUCUAAUGUGUGUCCUCUUUUUUAAUUUGCACCAUAUCCUACCUUUUUAAUGAUUUGCAUCCUAUCUUUUUGGUUCUUUUUCCCUCCCUUAUUUGUUUUUAAAAGAAUAGCUAUUAUUAUUCUUUAUUGUGUAUAACAAUGGAGAACUGAAAAGUGUGCAUCACCUUUCAAGUGUUUUCCGCCUUCUCCUCUUCAUCACCGUAUUCUUCGUUUGAGCAUUUGUUAUUCACUUGAUUUAGUUUAUAUGCAAGGACCAGGUGGAAGGAAGCAGAACAUGCAGAUAAACAGUUCAGUAUGUAGUGCUCUGUCAUUUAUUCUAAAAGCACCAAAUCAAUACGGUCAAGCUACUUUGAUACAGGAAUUGAUGCAUUUUCUUGAAUUCGAUCCUCAUGUCUUUGCUCAUUUCAGAUAGAGAUAAAACGCAUGGUGUGCGCGUCCAUAAAUUUUGUAUUAGAAAAUGACAUUUGUUUUUAUUAUCAUUUAUCCAUUUCGUAAACAAUUUUUAGUAGUACAUCUUAUUUCGGAAUUACACCAAAUAUAUAUGUUUUGACAUGGAGGAAAGAUUUGUGUACUCCAGUUUAUUUUUUG